rnacentral:lncRNA from 1 species
UGGAGUUGAUCUGAAAGUUGGAGUAGACCUAAAUUUAUGAAAAGCUGAAGCCUAGUUAAAAAAGAUGAGAGUGUCAGCUGUUUGUUUCCAAUAAGAAUAAGUAUAAAAUGUCUCAAAAAAUAAAACACUGUCACCUGAGAAGUAGACCAAGGAGUUUGGCGUUGGGGAAGGUUUGGUAUUUCCUGUUAGAAAAAGAAAAUUUGGUUAAAGCAAGAGAAUAUAUAUAUAUCAGGGUCUCAGAAGGUUGCAGAAACAAAAAUUUAGUAGAGAUGGUAAAUAUCAUGUUUGCUUACAUUGUUGGGGACAGAACUUCUGUCAUCAUACUGGACAACUGUCUUGUUUUUCUCCUUCAUGGUGAUCAGGAAUGAACUCGGUACCUGAUGUAAUGAACAAAUUGCUUUUAGAUUAAAUGCCCCUUGAACAAGAGAUGAAUAGCAGAAAGAAACGAAAGCCAAGGAAAGAAAAAGGUGAACAUUUAUCUGAACCUAUGGCUUGUUUUGAAUACAGAUAUUAUUUCAGAACAAAAUCACUGGUUUUCUUUGCAUUUGUUUCUCUUAGGAAAAGUUUUAGGAUUAAUCUGAGUAGUUUAAAUAGUGUAUAUAUGGGAUGUUCAACAAUCACUCACAUUUUAUAGAUCCUAUCACUGAAACAAGAAGACUAAAUAGAAGUGAUAAAAAAAUUAAUUGAAAGUGACUAAUUUGUGGUUAAGGAUCCAACCUUGUGUGUGUCCGUGUUUA